rnacentral:rRNA from 1 species
GAGUUUGAUCCUGGCUCAGGACGAACGCUGGCGGCGUGCUUAACACAUGCAAGUCGAACGGAGUUCCUUGGAAAGAGAUUUCGGUCAAUGGAAGAGGACCCUUAGUGGCGGACGGGUGAGUAACGCGUGAGGAACCUGCCUCUCAGAGGGGGACAACAGUUGGAAACGACUGCUAAUACCGCAUAAUAUAUCUGUAUCGCAUGGUAUGGAUAUCAAAGAUUUAUCGCUGAGAGAUGGCCUCGCGUCUGAUUAGCUAGUUGGUAGGGUAACGGCCUACCAAGGCGACGAUCAGUAGCCGGACUGAGAGGUUGGCCGGCCACAUUGGGACUGAGAUACGGCCCAGACUCCUACGGGAGGCAGCAGUGGGGAAUAUUGGGCAAUGGGCGCAAGCCUGACCCAGCAACGCCGCGUGAAGGAAGAAGGCUUUCGGGUUGUAAACUUCUUUUAAGAGGGAAGAGCAGAAGACGGUACCUCUUGAAUAAGCCACGGCUAACUACGUGCCAGCAGCCGCGGUAAUACGUAGGUGGCAAGCGUUGUCCGGAUUUACUGGGUGUAAAGGGCGUGCAGCCGGGAGUGCAAGUCAGAUGUGAAAU